ACAUUGGAUGAUUCUCUUCCAUCAUGCAGACUGCAUGGAAAAGCCUUGAAUUAAUAGCUUCGCCUGCAGAGAAGAGGAGAAGCGGCGGGACCUCAGAGACUAUGGAUGGACCUUGGAGAGAAGCAGCUUGACUCCAGAGGGACAGCUUGACAGCGUUGCUUCAUAGAGGAGUCUGGCCGUUCCCAGCCAGACUCUGGGGGAAGAUUAUCUUCCCACUCUAUCCCCUUUCCAGCUCCCCUUUCAUCAGCAAUAAAAUCAUCUGUGUCACCACCCUUCAAUUCAUUCGUGCAACCUGAUUUUUCUUGGACGCUGAACAAGAGCUCAGGUGCCACGGGUGCAGAUACUAAAGGCUGUCACACUGAUUCUCUGCCCUCGCUGGUGGAGAGCAACCGCCUCAUGCAAAAAGGCAGAGGGCCCACUGAGGUGUUUUACACUUAAGCUGUCCAUGGAUGGCAAAGCUAAAAGAGCACUGUCACACACGCCCUCUGGGGCUUCCGGGCUCGCAGGUGCUCCCCCUAGCCGCACAGAGUUUUGCUCCUGCCAGUGCCCAAAAGCACUUGCCCUGGCUCCUGCACCCACUCACCCAUGCUCCCCCCUCCUGCAAGGGGUUGAACGCAAUGGGACAGAGUGAGUGGAGUCUUCUGCCGGCAUCCAAGUGGCUGGCUACUUCUAGCACCUGUGCACUCCAGUUCCCACCUGCCAAGGGGUCAGGGAAAUUUUCCUGCUUCAGUAGGAAUAUGAACACCGAGCCCUAUCAAAAGGGUACAUGAGUUGUUUUACUUUAGAAAUAGAUGAAAAACAUGUAGAUUUCACUAACUAUUUUUGACUACUUGCAGAAAUUGAAAGUUAAAAAUAUGCUCAGCAUUUUAGAGGUUUUGCAUUGCAAUGAAGAUACGUGAAGGUAGGUGCAUACUGCUGGCCCUCAUGGCUUUAAGCAAAGUAGAUACAAGAUAAGCAUACUUAAAAACAAACAACCUGAAGCAGAUUAACAAUAUUUGGCCGUGCAGAAGAGAGUGUGGGAAGCAUUACCAUGAGACUGUAAUUUCGUAGCUUUUAUCUGACCAGAUAGACAGCUCUGCUGGUUGAAAAUUUGGUGCUCAUAAGUCCACAAACCAACCUUACCCUGCCUAGGUCUUUGAAGUAGAGCAUUGCUCAUGUUUUGCAGAUUAUGUUUUUAUCACUGUUAAAACUCAGGUUAAGUCCCAAAUCCUUUGACCAAUAAUAAUGUAUUCUAAUUAUUAAGCACCUAUACCAGGUACCCUGCAAAGUGUUUCCCAGUCAUUGCUAUUACUUUUUGAAACUAAUCUGAAAUAGAGUUAUCAUCAUCUAUUAGAAAUGAGACAAAUAACUUUCAAGGAGAAUGAGUAACUAGCCUAAUAUCAUAUGGUUAGUGAGCUGCAACUUAAAUCUGGAUCUAUGGUACCCCAUUAUCACUCUUCUCAGACCCCAUAACCCCUUCUUCAUAGGGAGAUGAGGAUGACAUAAAUUUGUUUAUCUGAAGAGAUUCUGCUAGGGAAAAGCAAGAAAUGUGACUAUUAAGCUCUUUGUUCUUGCCAUCUAAACUCUUCUCAGGGCCCUGUAGAAAGUUAAUGGCUAUUCCAUGGGAAACCAAGAAUAUAUUUGUGGCAGGCAAUUUGUUGCCUAUUUAGUAGCUACUUCUUAUCUUCUAUGAGAACUUAAAAUCCUGUUGGUCUAAGCAUGGUAACCCCAUUUCUCUUUACUGUGAUUGAUUUAAG
rnacentral:lncRNA from 10 species